GACGAACGCUGGCGGCGUGCUUAACACAUGCAAGUCGAACGGUAAGGCCCUUCGGGGUACACGAGUGGCGAACGGGGGAGUAACACGUGGGUGAUCUGCCCUGCACUUCGGGAUAAGCCUGGGAAACUGGGUCUAAUACCGGAUAGGACCACUGCAUGCAUGGGUGGAGGUGGAAAGCGUUUGCGGUGUGGGAGGGGCCCGGGGCCUAUCAGCUUGUUGGUGGGGUGAUGGCCUACCAAGGCGACGACGGGUAGCCGGCCUGAGAGGGUGACCGGCCACACUGGGACUGAGGUACGGCCCAGACUCCUACGGGAGGCAGCAGUGGGGAAUAUUGCACAAUGGGCGCAAGCCUGAUGCAGCGACGCCGCGUGAGGGAUGACGGCCUUCGGGUUGUAAACCUCUUUCAGCACCGACGAAGCGCAAGUGACGGUAGGUGCAGAAGAAGGACCGGCCAACUACGUGCCAGCCGCCGCGGUAA
rnacentral:rRNA from 1 species